rnacentral:rRNA from 1 species
CAAUAGUGUAUAUUAAAGUUGUUGCAGUUAAAAAGCUCGUAGUUGGAUUUCUGGUGGGAGCGAUCGGUCUGGCGCUUAGCGCGAGUACUUGCAUCGUCUCCGGCCAUCCUUGGGGAGAGUCUGUCUGGCAUUAGGUUGUCGGGCAGAGGAUCCUCAUCGUUUACUGUGAAAAAAUUAGAGUGUUCAAAGCAGGCUUAUGCCGUUGAAUAUAUUAGCAUGGAAUAAUAAGAUAGGACUUUGGUACUAUUUUGUUGGUUUGCGCACCAAAGUAAUGAUUAAUAGGGACAGUUGGGGGUAUUCGUAUUCCGUUGUCAGAGGUGAAAUUCUUGGAUUUACGGAAGACGAACUACUGCGAAAGCAUUUACCAAGGAUGUUUNCAUUA